CCGGACGCUGGAUGGCUCUGUCAUUCGCGGAAGGAGUUUGGGGCGCCAGCUAAAAGUAGAUACAGCGCUGCGACAGCAACAGGGCGCUGAGGUCCCUGGCGGACCCACUAGAUCGGAGCCUGAGGCAGUCACGACCAAUAUGUGGAAUAGUGAAUUUGAAAGCUAUGGCAGCUCCACCUACAGUGGCGCCGGCGGCUACACACAGUCCCCGGGCGGCUUUGGGUCGCCCGCACCUGCUAAAGCUGAGAGGAAAUCAAGAGCCCGAGCCCAGCACAUUGUACCCUGUACCAUAUCCCAGCUGCUUUCUGCCACUCUAGUUGAUGAAGUGUUCAAAAUUGACAAUGUUGAGAUUUCACAGGUCACUAUCGUGGGGAUAAUCAGACAUGCAGAAAAGGCACCAACCAACAUUGUUUACAAAAUAGAUGACAUGACAGCUGCACCCAUGGAUGUUCGCCAGUGGGUUGACACAGAUGAUGCAAGUAGUGAAAACACUGUGGUUCCUCCAGAAACAUACGUGAAAGUGGCUGGCCACCUGAGAUCUUUUCAGAACAAAAAAAGCCUGGUAGCCUUUAAAAUCAUACCCCUGGAGGAUAUGAAUGAGUUCACCGCACAUAUUCUGGAAGUAGUCAAUGCACACAUGAUGCUGAGCAAGUCUAACAACCAGCCCUCAGCAGGGAGAGCACUUAUCAGCAAUCCAGGAAUGGGUGAAGCAGGGAGCUUUGGUGCGAAUAGCUUCAUUCCAGUAAAUGGCCUCACUGUUGCCCAAAACCAGGUGCUGAAUUUGAUUAAAGCUUGCCCAAGACCUGAAGGAUUGAAUUUUAAUGAUCUCCAGGCUCAGCUCCAUUACAUGAAUACAGCCUCAAUCAAGCAAGCUGUGGAUUUUCUUAGCAACGAAGGACACAUCUAUUCCACUGUGGAUGAUGAUCAUUUUAAGUCUACAGAUGCAGAAUAACUGGAUCUAAUUGGGGACCUAAGAUAUUUUCUAGCUGGAUCUGUUUUCACAAUCUCCAGCUGUGCAUUUAUUUGAAUUGCACUUUCCUUCGGCCUCUUGUCAUGACUGCUGCCGAAAGCGUGUUGUAUGGAUGUGAGGUUAUGGAGUGAUGGCCCAGCGGGGCAGAGGAGAGGAAGAAACAUGUGCUUUGUACUAGAUAAGUACACUCAUAUGUUUAAUAAAACACUUCUUAUUGCGGUAACUUGUGGAAGUAUUUUUGUUUUUCUUUUUGAGCUGAUGUAAUUACUUUAUCAUCUGAGCAGUGUAGCAUAGUAAGACUUGCCUUUGAAUCCUACCUCUUCCUGUUUUGAGUUAGGAUCUUGAGCAAGCUAUGUCAGCUCUGAGAACCUCCAUUUCCUCAUUUAUUAAGAGAGAACUGUGUUAUUUCUUCAUAGGCUUGUUGUGAAGAUGGAAUUAAAUAAAGUCUGUAAAAUAUCUAGCAUUGCUAUUAAUAAGUGGAUUAUAAAAUGGACCUCAACAUUGAAUUCUUAGCAGUAUUUGAUCAUGUAACUGAAUCGAAUAUCUACUAUUUGACUUCAAAAUGAGACUUUCCAAAGGCCUAUGGCUAUUUUUUGGCCAACUUGAUCAGCUCUGUUUCUUGUGAGAGGAGACUGGUUCAAAGAUGUUUUUGACAACUCCAAAAAGUAAGCGAGGCCUUGAAUGAAAAGAACCAGUUCUGAGAUAAGUUAAUGAAAUAACAUGCAAAUAAAAAUUCUAUAUCUGCUUUAACUGUGUUUCUAAAUGAGACCUACCAGCAGCUGUGAAGAAGGCUCCACUCUUACAGCCCCACCCCUGGUUUCUAACUGACUUAUUUUCUGUACAUGCAAAGUAGUUUCCAUCUGGAGAGCUAUGAAGUACUUAAAACUCAGUCAGCCAGUAUGUUUGUUUGCAAGUAUUUCCAUUCUUGAUGAUUUUCUGAAAGAAAGGACAGUGGCUAAAAAACAGGUUUUUUUUGUUUUUAAAAAAAAUGUUGUCAUGUAGUUUCUGAGCCCUAGCAGGAGCCGGCCAAGCCAUUCUGCAGUGGAAUGAAACUCCAUCCUUUGUAGAUCCUCUGUCAGGCAGGAGGGACUUGCAUUUUGGGUAUGUAUGUUCACCUGGGAUGUCAGGUGUGCAGUGUUCUUUUGGCACAUUGUUGAGACAGGAACAGGGCGUUGAAGAAGUCAGAACUAGUUUCCUCUCCUUGGGCAGUGAGUUGACCCACUAGGUAUUCAGUAAACAUUUGUUGCUGGUGAAGGGUAAGGUAGUACACAAUACUGGGGAAGCCAGCACAACUUGUCCAAGGCAAGGUCACGGAAGCUCCAUAGACACAUCCAAACCUGCUGAGGGCAAGUUACUAAGCUGAGGGCUGUGGGGACCAUGGUCUGGGGGAUCAUCUAGCUCAGCUGGCAUAACAUAGUUUAUAAAGAAAAUGUUCUACCUUCUACUUUGGUGAGUAGCGUCUGGGGUCUUAAAAGCUUG